rnacentral:rRNA from 1 species
UACGUAGGUGGCAAGCGUUGUCCGGAAUUAUUGGGCGUAAAGAGCGCGUAGGCGGUAGAAUAAGUCUGUCUUAGAAGUGCGGGGCUUAACCCCGUGAGGGGACAGAGACUGUUCUGCUAGAGUCUCGGAGAGGAAAGCGGAAUUCCUAGUGUAGCGGUGAAAUGCGUAGAGAUUAGGAAGAACACCGGUGGCGAAGGCGGCUUUCUGGACGAGCACUGACGCUGAGGCGCGAAAGCGUGGGGAGCGAACAGG